rnacentral:lncRNA from 1 species
AAGAAUAUCACGUAUUUUAAGGUUAAUUAGUUGUUGCCACUAGAACAAGACAGGGUAUCUUGUUCUAAUUGUUGCUCAAGAUCUUCUGGGUAUCUUCUUCACAGCAUAAUCAAGCAAGGAUCAUCAAUCUAGGAUAAGUGAUUACAAAUUACCAUUAAUUAUCCGCGGAAGCUCUACUCUCAAGGAUUGUUUUCACACUCUGCUUAAUUUGGCUUCACGUGUAGCUCUCUGUAUUCUUUAUAGCAACAUGUAAUUAGAUAGAGGCGAGGCUGCUUCGAACAAGUUUCUUGAUGCCAUGUUUGGCAGCAAGCUAGUGGGGAUAUAUGCUGAGGAGCCUGCAUGUCUUGACGAGAGCCAAUGAUUUGCAGCACAGCUGCUUGAUUUUGACCCGUUGCUGCGGCACACAUGGCUAGCAAAUGUGAAGUCUACUCUUCCCCGUUGCCAGAUUGGCCUGCUCAAGAUGCAAUCUCCAUGAGGAUCUGAUGUGAUUCUCGUUUGAAUAAACGAAGCGUACGAAACUGUUAAAAAUAUAGAAGGUAGGUAUCAGAGAGUGAUGGAGGAGUGUGUGUAACUCAGUUGACGAGGAUUUUUCAUGCUCAAGUGGACAAAGACUACACGGCCUUGUUUCUCUCAAGAAAUCCACUUUCAUGGAAAUUGAUCCUAAGCUUUCCAAAUGUUUGGUCAGCUCUGACAUGUGAAAAAAUAAAUCUUUCUCACCAAGAAAGUACU